rnacentral:rRNA from 3 species
UGCGCGUCAACUUGUGAACUGCAGGACACAUGAACAUCGACAUUUCGAACGCACAUUGCGGUCCUCGGAUACUGUUCCUGGACCACUCCUGGCUGAGGGUCGUA